UUACAUAACGAUGCCACCAGCGAUUAGCCUGAGUUCCUUAAAUGACUCGGCUAGCAGCUUCCGGGAAACCAAAGUGUUUCGGUUCCGGGGGAAGUAUGGUUGCAAAGCUGAAACUUAAAGGAAUUGACGGAAGGGCACCACCAGGAGUGGAGCCUGCGGCUUAAUUUGACUCAACACGGGAAAACUUACCCGGCCCGGACACUGGAAGGAUUGACAGAUUGAGAGCUCUUUCUUGAUUCAGUGGGUGGUGGUGCAUGGCCGUUCUUAGUUGGUGGAGCGAUUUGUCUGGUUAAUUCCGAUAACGAACGAGACUCUAGCCUACUAAAUAGACUGUUCAGCUUUAUAGCCGGAAUCACCGGGCAUGUAGUUCUCCGCAAGGGGGAUUGCAUGUUCGGCUCUGGUGACGUUGGCAGUGCUUCUUAGAGGGACAGGCGGCGGUUCAGCCGCACGAAACAGAGCAAUAACAGGUCUGUGAUGCCCUUAGAUGUCCGGGGCUGCACGCGCGCUACACUGAAGUGAUCAGCGUGCAAUUUACGUUUGGUGAUCUGUCAAGAUUGCCCAACCCGUUGAACCUUCUUCGUGAUUGGGAUAGGGGAUUGUAAUUAUUCCCCUUGAACGAGGAAUUCCCAGUAAGCGCAAGUCAUAAGCUUGCGUUGAUUACGUCCCUGCCCUUUGUACACACCGCCCGUCGCUACUACUGAUUGAAUGAAUUAGUGAGGUCUUCGGACUGGCCUGUGCUGGCUGUUUCGGCAGCUGCACAUGGCUCGGGAAGAUGCCCAAACUUGUUCAUUUAGAGAAGUAAAGUCGUAACAAGUUUUCGUAGUGACCUGCGGAUGAUCAGGCGAAUUCGCGGCGCUAAUUCAUCGCCUAUAGUGAGUCGUAUCAUCGCGGGGGGGGGGGCUUUAUAUAAAUAUAUAUAAUAAAAAGGUG
rnacentral:rRNA from 1 species